rnacentral:rRNA from 1 species
AUUGAACGCUGGCGGCAUGCCUUACACAUGCAAGUCGAACGGUAACAGGUCUUCGGAUGCUGACGAGUGGCGAACGGGUGAGUAAUACAUCGGAACGUGCCUAGUAGUGGGGGAUAACUACUCGAAAGAGUGGCUAAUACCGCAUGAGAUCUACGGAUGAAAGCAGGGGAUCGCAAGACCCUGUGCUACUAGAGCGGCCGAUGGCAGAUUAGGUAGUUGGUGGGAUAAAAGCUUACCAAGCCGACGAUCUGUAGCUGGUCUGAGAGGACGAUCAGCCACACUGGGACUGAGACACGGCCCAGACUCCUACGGGAGGCAGCAGUAGGGAAUUUUGGACAGUGGGCGCAAGCCUGAUCCAGCAAUGCCGCGUGCAGGAUGAAGGCCUUCGGGUUGUAAACUGCUUUUGUACGGAACGAAAAGCCCUGGGUUAAUACCCUGGGGUCAUGACGGUACCGUAAGAAUAAGCACCGGCUAACUACGUGCCAGCCGCCGCCGUAA